rnacentral:rRNA from 1 species
UACGUAGGGUGCAAGCGUUAAUCGGAAUUACUGGGCGUAAAGCGUGCGCAGGCGGUUUUGUAAGUCUGACGUGAAAUCCCCGGGCUCAACCUGGGAAUUGCGUUGGAGACUGCAAGGCUGGAGUCUGGCAGAGGGGGGUAGAAUUCCACGUGUAGUAGUGAAAUGCGUAGAGAUCGGGAGGAACAUCAGUGGCGAAGGCGGCCAUCUGGGACAACACUGACGCUGAAGCACGAAAGCGUGGGGAGCAAACAGG